rnacentral:rRNA from 1 species
UACGUAGGGUGCAAGCGUUGUCCGGAAUUAUUGGGCGUAAAGAGCUCGUAGGCGGUUUGUUGCGUCGGCUGUGAAAUCCCGAGGCUCAACCUCGGGUCUGCAGUCGAUACGAGCAAACUAGAGUGUUGCAGGGGAGACUGGAAUUCCUGGUGUAGCGGUGAAAUGCGCAGAUAUCAGGAGGAACACCGGUGGCGAAGGCGGAUCUCUGGGCCUUACCUGACGCUGAGGCGCGAAAGCUAGGGGAGCAAACAGG